AAGGAAGCUGGUUUGGAGAAUUAAGUUUCCUUUCACGUCUGGAGAUCCAUAAUCUGUUAGAGAAAGUCGACUUGGAUGAAAAUUCUCCUCUGGUCUUUUGAUCUUGGUAGCUACCACGCCUUGCACAAAACAAAUGAAUAAAUUAGUGAAUGAGUGAAUAGAUGAAGUAAUGAACUGAGACAGAGUUUUGCUACAUUGCUCAGGCUGAUCUCUCCUCUUGGGCUCAAGUGAUCUGCCAGCCUUGGCCUCCUGAAGUGCUGGGAUUAUAGGCAUGAGCCACCAUGCCCGGCCCAAUAUCAACAUUCUGAACAUCAGCCUUUGUACUGAGUGAUAAUACAGCAACGCUGUCAAGGCCCACUGGGAGAACAAAGAGAGGUGGAUCCCAGGAGGCAGCCAGGGGAUGCAAGGAGCCAACAUGCCAUCAGAGAGGGGUGAAGAGAUAAGGUCCCAAGGAAAGCUAUUGGAAAGCUUUCUACCAAAAGGGAGAUCAAGGACCACAGAGCACAUCCUGAAAGACAAGUCUUUGUUCCAAAGGAAGGAAUGGUUCCACCAGGAGACACAACAAUGAUUAUACUGAACUGCAAGUUAAGACUGCCACCUGAUGCCUCUGAAUCUACUGGCAAGCAAGGAAGUUACUGUGCUGGGUGGGUUGAUUGAUCCAGACUACAAGGGGAAAUUGGACAGCUGCUCCACAAUAGAGUCAUCCUCAGUGAGUGCCUUAUCAAGCUUAUUACUUCAUGGUGACAAGAGGGCUGCACUUGAUCCAACAUCAAUUUUGGAUUCCAGUAAGCAAGAAGAAGAAGACAAAUGAGAAAAAGAUAUAAGCCAGUUGAUUUUUCAGCAAACCUUCCAAGAGCAAAGGGGACACUUUCCCUUCACCCCUGCAGAAGACGUCUCCGAGGAAGUGAAACAUUGGUGGAUAUAUGAUAGAAAUCAUCAUGGUAAAGAAAGUAUUACAGUAAGACUGAAAACCAACCAUUUUGCCCAAGGGACAGACCCUCAGCUGUGACUCUGCACCUGAUCUCUGUGGCUUUGCUGAAAUGUAGCUUUAACCCUGGAGUACCCUAAAGGUGAGCACCAGCGCGAUGGAGAGGUGAGAGCACAGACUUUGGCUGUUGGCCUCAGUUUCUUCCUCUGCAGUUUGGUGUGAAGCUCAGAGAUGGUGCAUGGAGCCCCCAGAGAUAGUAGCUGGCACCUGGAGACCCAUGCCCUGCUUGGGCCACACCUCUGCUGGUGCAGGGAAACCUGGGCAACCCGAGGUGGACAGACCAGUUCUACUGGAAGCUGGUCCCCAUCACCUGUACUUUUCCCACAAAAGACUCCCUUCCUUAUCCCCUUCCUCACUCACCCACAAAAGAACCCUUUCCUUAUCCAUGACCUGUACUUUACCCACAAGAAACCCCCUUCCUUACCCACUCCCUUCCUUACUCAAUCUGGCAGGGCUCAGAUUGCAAUAAAGAAGGGUCAGUAAUCCACAAAUCCAAAUAUUCAGUUUCCUGGCAGACGUAGAAUCAUUCAUAUUCUUGAAUCAAAAGGAUCUGUUCACGAUUAGAAAAAAAAAUUCAUCUAACUGCGUUUUUCAUUAAUAGAAACUGCAUAUAGAAAUCCUCUAGAACAACAUCAUACACCAUGGAGUUGACAAUUCAUCAUGCUCUAUUCUAGGCUCGGCUUCAGCAUAUUUGAAAUCAGCUAGGAGGCUUCUGUUGAUACAAAAUACAGUAUUUGUAGACUGAUCUAGUCCUGCAGCAGGUGGUAAAGAAGUAUGAACUGAAACUGCCAUAUGGCGGUGUGAAGGAAAUGUUUCUCUCCAGAGAAAUACUUGAAAGUGUCAUAAAAACAGUAAAAACAUUUAACAGCUCAAAAGGCUUAAAUUCAGUAUGUACAGAAACUGUGUCAACUUUGGAGUCAGGCUGCUUUCAUUAAAAUCUCAGCAGAUAGAUGAUAACUUUCACUCGCGUCCAUGUGAAGAGACCACUAAACAGGCUUUGUGUGAGCAAUAAAGCUUUUAAUCACCUGGGUGUGGGUGGGGUGAGUCCGAAAAGAGAGUCAACGAAGGGAGAUAGGGGUGGGUCCAUUUUAUAAGAUUUGGGUAGGUAAAGGAAAAUUAUAGUCAAAGGGGGGGUUGUUCUCUGGCGGGCAGGAGUAGGGGUCACAAGAUGCUCAGUAGGGGAGCUUUUGAGCCAGGAUGAGCCAGGAGAAGGAAUUUCACAAGAUAAUGUCAUCAGUUAAGGCAGGAACAGGCCAUUUUCACUUCGUUUGUGGUGGAAUGUCAUCAGUUAAGGCAGGAACCGGCCAUCUGGAUGUGUAUGUGCAGGUCACAGGGGAUAUGAUGGCUUAGCUUGGGCUCAGAGGCCUGACAAUACCCAGGCAGAUAAGUAAUGUGACUUUGUGCAAGUGACUUAAACUCUGGAGCUUUGGUUUCCUCAUAGAAAAGAGGGAAUAGACCCUUGGGAUUAUAGUGAAAAUGAAAAGAAAUAGUGUAUAUACAGCAACUAGCCUAGUCUCUGGUCUAUGUGGAAAACGCUUGAUAAGAUUAUCAUUGUCAUGAUUGUUUUUAUAUUAUGAAUACAUUUGUUGUGUUACAUAUAAUUCACGUCUACCUUCUGUGAAAGUAUGUAUAGGCAUACAGAUGGAGAUGGUAAGAGAAAAGAGGAAGAGAAAGAAUCAGAAAAAUAUACGCCUGAUUCACCCUCCCAAUCCUGCUACUCAAACCUUUUAUUCUAUGCCCAGUCUUCCCCAUCUCCAUAAAUGGAAUACCAUCCACCCAGUUGCUCAAGCCAAAUAUUUCAGAGUCAAUGUAAAUAUUUCCCUUUCCCUUACUGGCUGGCCACUGUCUAUCUAAUUUCAGUCAUUAUAAUCUCAUCAUCAUCUCUCCCUGGAUUUUAUAUUUUUAUUUAGCUUCGUCUUCCUAAAUCUUCUCCCUGCUUUCAUUCAGAGUCCCCUCUAACCACACAAAACCAGAACUUCCUUCUUAAAAUAGAAAUUAGAUCACAUCUCUCUUCCCAACUGGAAACCCUUCGGUGACUUCUCAUUGUACUUCAAGUAAGAUGCAAACACCUUUCCAGGGCCUCCAAACCCCUGCACAAUUGGGUUCCCAAUACUCCCUAACACCACCUCCUACACCCUCCCUGACUAUAUUUCAGUCCCUUGAACAAGCCAAGCUCCUUUCCACCUCACAGCCUGUGCACAAAUUGUUCUCUCUGCCUGGAACACUCUUCCAUUUUGGCAUAAAUGUCUGAUUCCUUUCUGACCUUCAAGCCAGAAUUUCAAGGUCAAUUGCUCAGAGAGGCCUUCCCAGUACACCAACUGAAGCAGAUGACCUCCUCACCUCAGUCAUUCUCUAGAUCCACAUUGUGUCUUAACAGCACAUAAAAUAACUUGUAUUUUAUUAGUUUUUCAUUUUUUUCGUGUGUCUGUCUCUCCCAAAGGUUGUAAAUAACUUGAAGGCUGGGGCCAUAUCUGUCUUUUCCAUUUUUUCACUUGCAGUGCUCAAUACAAUGCACUGUGCUGGGCAUAGAGAAGAUGUUCAGUAAAUAUUUGAUGUAAGAAAUUGGGUCAUUGGAUAAAACAAUCUUGUAAAUUUCCAUCGUUAAAAUGCCCUAGAUAUAUAAUAAUUUAUUUUCACUCAUUACUGAAAAGUCAGAGAUGAAAAAAGACAACACAUUUUUGUAUGUUUAUAUGUAUGCUUAAAGGGUUAGAAGUAUUUGAUCUUUUAUGGAUCAAUUGUUGAAGAAUUAUCUGUUGCCUAGAAAGAGGUCAUGUGAAAGAGGCAAAUGUAAAUGCAGGAAUUUUGCUCAUUGCAGUUAAUUGACACUUUCAGGGCCAAUGGAUCACAUGAGUCACUUUUUAAAAAUCUUUCUCCUAUUUUAGAGGAUACAGUGGUUUGAAACCAACAUUACAGCAGCAUGUUUCAUAGGACUUGUUCUUUAUUGAUCAUGGGCAAAGAUUAAUUUCAAGUAUGUAAUUGUCAUCUGAGGGCCUGACUUCUCAUGGGCCCCAGCUGCUUUUUUUCUGUAUAAUUUAGAUUAGAAGUUGACUGCAGUGAAUGCCAUGCUGUAUCUCUCAGAUCCCCCUCUUUGGAACUGAGGCCCUCAACCCCCAGCAGCUAGAGCACUGUUGAAGAGAGCUAAGGUCUUGUCCCAGCUCAGGGGAUGGUCCGUAUUCAAGAGCUGCCCUGGGCAUGUUGGGGGUGGAGGAAAUCCAGCCUCUUGCAUAAGGUGACAGCACAAAUCCAAAGGGCCAUUCCAGCUCCGGAGAUCUGUUGGACAAUUAAGGCCUAUGUUGCAUUUACAUUGACUGCAUUGGGUUCAGCUCCUGCCUCUAUCCAAUCCUACUUUCUUUACUUCCCUACAGAUGUUGUUCCCAAGAUCACUGCCAGUAAUAUUCCUGCAGCCAGAUCUCCAUCUUAAGGUGGAAAAGAUAAUGUCUCUAAUAUGGUCUGGCUGUGUCCCCAUGUAAAUCUCAUCUUGAAUUGUAGUUUCCAUAAUUCCUAUGUAUUAGUAUUAUGGGAGGGACCCAGUGGGAGAUAAUUGAAUCAUGGGGGUGGUUUUCCCCAUACUGUUCUCAUGGUAGUGAAUACGUCUCACAAGAUCUGAUGGUUUUAUAAGGGGUUUCCCCUUUCUGUUGGCUCUCAUUUCUCUCUUUCCUGUUGCCAUGUAAGAUGUCCCUUGCUCUUGAUUGUGAGGCCUCCCCAGCCAUGGGGAACUGUGAGUCCAUUAAACCUCUUUUUCUUUAUAAAUUAUACAAUCUCAGGUAUGUCUUUAUCAGCAGCAUGAAAACAGACUAAUACAGUCUCCUUCUUAAGACAUUGAUUAAAGUGAUUUGGUGCCACUUUUUUUCUACCAUUCCCCUUUUCCUUGGCUUGAAAGGAGUCCUUUGGGGAAAGGGUGAACAAGGGAGUCUACUGUCCAGCUCUCCCCUAACCAUAGGUGGCAGUUUUGAAAAUGUGGAUGGCACAGUCUCCUGCUGACCCAUCUUGAAACCGAAACUAUCAUCUAUCUCCUUUCUACACUCCAUGGCUUCUUCCCAGUACAGAUAAAAAGGUAAGACGGACCACUUCAUUCUAAUUAAUUAGGAAGAGACUAAUCAUAGAUACAUACUUUGAUAUAAUUACAGUUGCCCUCCUGACUGUGGUUUUGCACUCCAAAGCUUCCCCAUGGUCAACUUCAGUGCAAGAAUACUACAUAUAGUAACAUACGUUGAGAGCGAGACAGAGAUCACAUGCACUUGACUUUUGUUACAGUAUGUUGCUAUAAUUGUUCUAUUUUAUUAGUAGUUAUUGUUGUUUUUCUCUUACUGUGCCUAAUUUAUACAUUAAACUUUAUCAUAGGUAUGCAUAUAUAGGAAAAAUCACAGUAUAUAUAGGGUUCAGUACUAUCUGUGGUUUCAGGCAUUCACUGGGGGGUCUUGGAAUGUAUCCUCCAUGGAUAAGGUGAGACAACUGUAUUUUAAAAACAUGUGUUAUGAGCUGAAUUGGGCCCCAAUCCCCAAAAUCAGAUGUUGCCAUCCUAACUUCAGAAUGGGAUUGUAUUUGGAAAUAGAAUCUUUAAAGAGGUAAAGUUAAAAGGAGGUCAUAGAUGUGGGCCCUAAUCUAAUACAAAUUGUGUGCUUAUAAAAAGAGGAGAUUGGGACACAGCCACACACAGAGGGAAGACCAUGUGAAGACACGCAAGAGAAAAGACAGCCAUCUAGAAGCCAAAGAGAGAGGCCUUAGAAGAAACCAACCUUGCCAAACACCCUGAUCUCAGGCUUCAAACUUCCAGCACAGCACACUGCCGAUCAAAUCAUCCCUGAUGAUUGUCUCAUGGCACCAUCGUGCUUCUGCCGUCUUGUUCCUGCACCACCACAGACACUCAGGAGCUCUCAAGGGGCCUGGACUGUAUAGUGUUCUGUGGCACAACAGGCACCUCAAUCUCAUGCAAGUACAGUUAAAGAGCAUCAGAUCUGCGCUGCCCUCAUGGAAAUGCUCAGCUUCUGGUACAACAGCUGUUUAAUUGCUUCACAUACAGCCCCCUCUCCUGUCCUUGGAUUCAGUCAAGGUGCAGGGACACAUUUGAGUGACAGGUUCUGCUCUGUGCUCCAUAGUGAUGACUAAGGCUUUGUUUCUGGGUCAAGCUUGUCACGACUCAUUUUUCCCUUAGGAGAAGCUCUCUACUAGCAUAUUUCUCAGUGCCUCAUGCAAAGAGGCUUCUGGUAAGCUGUCCUGCUGGCUUUCCAAUAUGCCCGGGAGAGCUGAAUAGUCACUUCUAGGACACGCCAGGGACUUCCUGCCUCUAGUAACUCUCUCCAAGACUUCCCUUAAAUAUGUUUAUAGGGUGGGAGUUAUAGACAAAAAGUAGAGAAGAUACCAUUGCUUCUUGAGGGAGAAGUUCAAAUGCUGGCUUUAUUUUCUCUGGAUAUUCUACUUUGCUCUUGUCCCUAUUGUCUGGUCUGAGUUAGGAUAUUCAACCUUUGACUUAUUAUCACAGAUGGUUCUAGUGCCCUUACUUGUGUAAACCAAAAAGUAUCUGAGACAGGUCUAAAUCAAUUUAGAGGUCUCUUUUCCCAAGGUUAAGGGCCAUGGCCCAUGGCACAGCCUGAGGAGGUCCUGAGAGCAUGUGUCUAAGGUGGUUAAGUUACAGCAUGGUUUCAUACAUUUUAGGGAGACAGAAGUUACAGGCAAAGACAUAAAUCAAUACACGGAAGUUAUACAUUGGUUCAGCCCAGAAGGGCAGGACAUCUUGAAGGGAGGUAGGGGACAUCUUUCAGGUCAUAGGUAGAUUCAAAGAUUUCCUAAUUGGCAAUUGGUCAAAAGAGUUAAGCUCUGCCUAAAGAGUUGAAUUUGGGAAAAAAAAAAAAAAAAGGCUUGAGUAAUUUAGAUAAGGGUGACUGUGGAAGACUCUAGGUAGCAGGCUUCAGGGAAAAUAGAUGGGAAAUAUCUCUUAUCAGACUCUAAAAAAUUUCAGACUCCCCAGAAAAGACCUAGUAAGGGAAGGAUAUUCUCUACAGAACAGACAUUUCCCCCAUAAGAGAUGUUUUUGCAGAGCCCUUUCAAAGUAUGUCAAAGAAAUACAUUUUGAGGGUAAAUAUUUUGCCUGCUAUCUGUCAUAUGAUGCUAUACCAGAGUCAGAUUGGAAUUUGGUGUCCUAUUGUUACAAAAAGUCUGUUUUGUUAGUCUUAAGAUCUCUGUUUUGAUUCUAAUGUUGGUCAGUUGUUCCUGAACUCCAAAGGGCAGAGGCCAGAAUGAGGCAUGUUUUGCUCCUCCUUCCUGUCAUGGCCUGAACCAGUUUUUCAGGUUUCUUUGGGGUCCUCUUGGUCAAGAGGGGGCCCAUUUAUUCUGUUGAGGAGGCCUAGAAUUUUAUUUUAGUUUCACGCUUGUUUACUAGAGAGUGAUGACGAUACAUCCAAAAUCUGUCACCGAAGAUCUUUGUCUUUGUAGAUUUCCUGUCAGCCUAGUCUUUGUUGGAAGAUCAGCACUCUGUUCUGGCUGGCUCCUGAAUUUACUCAGUGCACCUCCUCCCUUGAUCAUGGGAGGAGUUUGAGAGCUUUUUCAGUAAAAAUAAUAGUUUCUUUCUGUGUGGAGUCCAGAUGAAAGAUAAACACUCAUGGAUGUUUUAGUUUAAAAAAUCCCAUGUCUAAUUUGAUGUGGAAAUGGAUUUUUUAAAAUGAUGUAUAUGAUGACAUUAUAUUUUGGACUGGAGAGACAGUGAUAUGGUUUGGCUGUGUUCCCACCCAAAUCUCAUCUUGAAUUAUAGCUCCCAUAAUCCCCAUGUGUCAUGGGAGGGACCCCGUGGGAGGUAAUUGAAUCAUGGGAGCGAGUUUUUCCUGUGCUGUUCUCAUGAUAUUGAGUAAGUCUCAUGAGAUCUGAUAGUUUUAGAAAGGGCAGUUUCGCUACAUAUACUCUCUUGUUUGCUCCCAUGUAAGAUGUACCUUUGCUCCUCCUUCACCUUCUGCCAUGAUUGGGAGGCCUCCCCAGCCAUGUAGAACUAACUGUGAGUCCAUUAAAUCUCUUUUUCUUUAUAAACUACCUAGUCUCAGCUAUGUCUUUAUUAGCAGCGUGAGAAUGGACUAAUGCAGUAAAUUGGUACUGGUAGAAUGGUGUGCUGGUAUAAGGAUACCCAAAAACAUGGAAGCAGCUUUGGAACUGUGUAAGGGCAAAGAUUGGAACAGUCUGGAGGGCUCAGAAGAAGACAGGAAGAUGUGGGAAAGUUUGGAACUUCCUAGAGACUUGGAGAGUUCAGAAGACAGGAAGAUGUAGGAAAGUUUGGAAUUCCUGGAGACUUGUUGAAUGGCUUUGACCAAAAUGCUGAUAGUGAUAUGGACAAUAAAGUCCAGGUUGAGGAAGUCUCAGAUGGAGAUGAGGAACCUGUUGGAAACAGCAGUAAAGGUUACUCUUGCUAUGCAAAGAGACUAGUGGCAUUUUGCCUUUGCCCCAGAGAUCUGUGGAACUUUGAACUUGAGAGAGAUGAUUUAGGGUAGCCAACAGAAGAGAUUUCUAAGCAGCAAAGCAUUGAAGAGAAAGCAGAGCACAAAAGUUUGGAAAAUUGGCAGCCUGAUGAUGUGAUAGAAAAGAAAACCCCAUUUUCUGGGAAAAAUUCAAGCAGGCUGCAGAAAUUUGCAUAAGUAACAAGCUGCAGAAUGUUAAUCACCAAGACAAUCACAGAAAUGUCUUCAGGGCAUGUCACAGACCUUCACAGCAUCUCCUUUCAUCACAGGUUCAUAGGCCUAGGAGGAAAAAAUGGUUACUUGGGCCAGGGCCUCGCUGCUGUAUGCAGCCUUAGGACUUGGUGCCCUGUGUCCCAGCCACUGCAGCCAUGGCUAAAAGGGGCCAACAUGCAGCUCAGGCCAUUGCUUCAGAGGGUGCGAGCCCUAAGCCUUUGCGGCUUACACAUGGUGCUGGGCCUGUAGGUGCACAGAAGUCAAGAAUUGAGGUUUGGGAACCUCUGCCUAGAUUUCAGAUGAUGUAUGGAAAUGCCUGGAUGUCCAGGCAGAAGUGUGCUGCGGGGCAAAGUCCUCACAGAGAACCUCUGCUAGGGAAGUGCAGAAAGGAAACGUGGGGUGGGAGCCCCCACACAGAGUCAUCACUGGGGCACUGCCUAGUGGAGCUGUGAGAAAAGAGCCACCAUCCUCCAGACCCCAGAAUGGUAGAUCCACUGACAGCUUGCACUAUGCACAUGGAAAAGCAACAGACACUCAACACCAGCCCAUGAAAGCAGCCAGGAGUGGGGGCUGUACCCUGCAAGGCCACAGGGGCAGGGCUGCCCAAGACCAUGGGAACCCACCUCUUACAUCAGCAUGACCUGGAUGUGAGACAUGAAGUCAAAGGAUAUUAUUUUGGGGCUUCACGAUUUGACUGCCCUGCCAGAUUUAGGACUUGCUUGGGGCUUGUAGCUCCCUCAUUUUGGUCAGAUUCUCCCAUUUGGAACAGAUAUAUUCCUGUAUCCUCAUUGUAUCUAGGAAGUAACUAACUUGGUUUUCAUUUUACAGGCCCAUAGAUGGAAAGGUCUUGCCUUGUCUCAGACGUGACUUAGGACUGUGGACUUUUGAGUUAAUGCUGAAAUGAGUUAAGACUUUGAGGGACUGUUGGGAAGGCAUGAUUGGUUUUGAAAUGUGAAGAUAUGAGGUUUGGGAGGGGCCAGGGUUGGAAUGAUAUGAUUUGGCUGUGUCCCCACCCAAAUAUCAUCUUGAAAUUUUAGCUCCUAUAAUCCCCACAUAUCGUGGAAGGGACCUGAUGGGAGGUAAUUGAAUCAUGGAUUUUUCCCAUGCUAUUUUUGUGAUAGCAAAUAAGUCUCAUGAGAUCUGAUGGUUUUAUAAAUGGGAGUUACCCUGCACACAGUUUCUUGCCUGCUGCCAUGUAAGAUGUACCUUUGCUCCUCCUUCACCUUCUGCCAUGGCUGUGAAGCCUCCCCAGCCAUGUGGAACUGUGAAUCCAUUAAACCUCUUUUUCCUUAUAAAUUUCCCAGUCUUGGGUAUGUCUUUAUCAGCAGUGUGAGAACAGACUAACACAGACAGUAAUGUUGUACAGGAUUGUUCAAGUGUUUGUCAUCACUGAAUCCUUCAAAUAUGUAACUUGGGAUCAUCUGCUGACCAGAAAUGACUUUGUUCAAUACAAUAUUCCUUGAGAUAAUGAUGUUUUCUAUUUUUUACUGGUAUGUAAAUGUGAAAUGCUGCUGCUAUUAAAACAAUAGUUUAGAGCUAAUGUGUAAUGAAGUUUUUGUUUGUUUGUUGGCUAAUUUUUCCAUAUGGAAAAUCAUAUGUAAAUAUAGCUUUCUAAAAGAUUUAGCAAAAGUGGAAAGCAAGAGAGGUAGAAAAGAGUUGAUUCCAUGAAUGUGAAACAAUGGCCCUUGAUUUUUCACUGUGCUGUCAUCCCAUCCAGAUGUGCAUGUGACGUGGUGUUGGAGAAUGCUCAGGGGACAGACCCAGGAGCUGCUGCCCAAGGAUUCUUUGACAGAAUCCCAAUCCGGGAUUCUUUGGAGGCUUUUUCUCUGCAGUAUACAAAUAACCCUGAGUAUUGAGCCCUUCCUGAGAUCAAAGUUAAACAUGAGAGCUAAAGGUAGAGCUAGAGGACAUAGGGAAAUGCAAACCCAGUAAAGCUCUGGGGAAAGAGGCUCGCCUAUGCACUCUGCAGAACCUCUACCUCCAGCUUCAAUGUCUGCACCCAAGAAAUACCGUGUACAAGUCUUCACACAUGAGUGCAAAUAACAUACUGAUGGCUGAAAACAAUAAAAUGAACAAGAAAAAAAUUCUCACUAAUUCAAACUGUCUGCAUUCUAUCUCUGUGGUUAUUCUAAGCUCACCUCCAUAACUUUAUGUAUUUAUGUAUUUAAGAGAUGGAGUUUCACUCUGUCACCAAGGCUGGAGUGCAGUCGUGCAAUCACAGCUCACUGCAGCCUUGAACUCUGGGCUCAAGGGAUUCUUCUUCCUCAGCCUCUUGAGCUGGGACUACAGGCAAGCCACAAUGCCCAGCCACCUACCUCAGUUUUAAAUUCUCAUUCUUCCAUUUGCAAUUCUUUUUUUUUUUUUUCAGACAGAGUCUCACUCUAUCAUCCAGGCUGGAGUGCAGUGGUACAAUCUUGGCUCACUGCAACCUUCCCGUCCCAUGUUCAAGCGAUUCUCCUGCCUCAGCUUCCUGAGUAGCUGGGACUGCAGGAGUGUGUCACCACGCUCGGCUAAUUUUUGUAUUUUUAGUAGAGACAGGGUUUUGCCAUGUUGGCCAGGCUGGUCUUGAACUCCUAACCUCAAGUGAUCCAACCACCUCGGCUUCCCAAAGUGCUGGGAUUAUAGGCAUAAGCCACCAUGCCCAGCCUCCGUUUGCAAUUAUUGUCGCUAGAGCACUUUGAAAAGAAAUCGCUGCAUGAGAGUGUGUGUGUGUGCAAUUUUUACAGAUUCCUCCAAAAAUAAAUUGUGCAAGUACAUUAUAUUUUUCAGUAGCCUAUGUCAAUUAUGGUUUCAUUUAAACUGAAUAUGUUCUAAAUUCUUGUCCACAUAAUCUGCCCUCCCAUUUUAUAUGGGACAAGGAUCACAUCAUUUCCAACUACCAUGUCUUUCUAUCACAGGCUGCUGUGCUAUGGCUGAUGCUGCAGUUCCAGAGCAGGCUCCCUGCUGUGAUUCUACUCAUGAGAUGUUUCCCAGCAGAGGAACUAGCGACAGUGCAAGAGGGGACCCCCAUUUCGUGUUUCUGUGAAGGCUGCAGAACCAGGCUUUGUAGUGGAUGCCAGCUCAUUUCCAAGCUAGAUGUCCAAUCUACUAGCUAGAUGUCAAAGGUCAUGAUGAAUCUUUGAUGCAUGACAGAGUCUGAUAGUGGAAGCUUUGUAAAAGCAAAUCUUCCUGGGUGUCAAAGGAAUUUAAGUCUGGCAAUGUGGCAAAGUUUCCCAACAUUCCAAACAGUGGCAGCAUGUUUCCAAAAACAGGUAGCACAAUCUUCUUUUUACAACAAAAAUGAAAGUUAUAGUAGGAUGUAAAUGUAUUUAAACAGCAGAGGCUGUAGAAGACAGCAUAUAAGGGAGCAGUGGUCUAUUACCCUUAACAUUGAGAGGUGGCCUCGUACAAUGGUUAAACAAGUCCUAGGUUUGAAUCUUCGCUCAACUCUGCAAAUUGCAUAAUCUCUCUGAGCUUUAAAUGUUAUUUCAAGAUGUCUAUUCAUGUAAAAUUCCUAGGAUGCUGCUUGGCACAUGGUAAUAAAAGACCCUAAUGGAGGGUAACUGGUAUAUAACAGACUUUCAGGUUUAUUUCUCUUAAAAUUAGGAGCAAAACUUUAUGGUAAAUGACAAAAACAAGCUGCUAACUGAUAAAUAAAACUGUAAUUGGGACUUUAUAUUAAAAGAAAAUUCAGACACAGUGGCUCACACCUGUAAUCCCAGCACUUUGGGAAGUUGAGGUGGAAGGAUUGCUUUAGCCUAGGAGUUUGAGACCAGCCUGGGCUAUAAAUAUACAUACACAUAUAUGUAUAAAUACAUGUACACACAUACAUUUACAUAUUUAUAUGUAAAUAUAUACAUUUGCAUAUUUGCAUAUGUAUGUUAUUUAACUUUAUAUGUACAUAUAUGUAAAUAUAUGUGUAAAUAUGUAAUAUAUGUAUAUAUAAAGUAAAAUGAUAUACAUAUAUAAAUAAAAUGAAGUAAAAUAAUACAAAUAAAUGUAGUUUAUAGCUAAUUGGACUUAGAUUAUAAUUGCUUACAAAUUCCUGCUCCAGUCCUCUCUGUAGGUGGCUGAACCCUGGGCACAGGGAGCAGACAUAAGCAGCAAACUGUCAGUGUUGUUUUGUCUCAGAAAAUAAGGAAACCCAAUGAGAAGGAGAAAGAUGGGGGAACAGCUGGUUGGUAGAGCAGUCAGAACACACACAACAUUUAUUGAUUAAGUUUGCUGUCUUAUGUGGGCAAACCCCAAAACAACUGCGACAGUAACAUCAAAGGAAACUGAUUAUACAUGACCAUAAGAGGCAUAAUAAUAAUGAAAAAGCUUGAAAUAUCUUGAGAAUUACCAAAAUGUGACACAGAGACAAGAUGUGAGCACAUGCUGUUGAAAAUAUGGUGCCAAUAGACUUGCUUGACACUGGGUUGCCACAAACCUUCAAUUUGUAAUAAAUGCAACCUCUGCAAAGUACAGAAAAGCAAAGCACAAUAAACUGAUGCAUUCCUGUACUUAUGGGUAAUUGUAUUUUCAGAAAAUCGGCCUUUUGAAAAGAAAAUGUUUUAAAUGAAAUAUUUUGCAAGAAUUAUAGAGCCCAACAGUGGCUUCAGAAUAUCUUACUACUGUAGUUUAAAAAUAACUCCCUUUCCUUUCAAUUUGGUAAGCGUGUGACUUACAAACCUGUCACUCAAAAAAACUAAGAAUUGAGCUAAAACUCUAUUCUUCACUCAAUAAUGAGAAUGCAGCACUUACAUGUAUUUUCUUCCUGAAUAUUCCUUGACACUGUAUGUCUGGGAUGUGCACGUAUGUGUUAUGCAAUGUCUUUUGCCCUAAUGGCAUAUUAGCAGGAAGCAACCAUACCUGCCACCAAGCAAGUCUCCUAUUUCUGGUAUAAGUAUGAGGUCUUGGAGAAGAAAAUGUUGUGCCCUUCUAUUCCAGAAGCAAAAAACAAGGAAAUGAUGCAGAAGUCUCUUGGGGAGAGUAUCUGCCAAGUUUCCAUUUUAUUUCUUGGUAUGUAAACAAACAUUCGGUGUUCCCUCUAUAUAAAAUAAGAAAACCAUGGUAUAUAAUGAUGUUUCCUGUUUAUAUUGUGACUGUCAGAAUGGUUUUAUAAAUGCUCUUUUAUUGGGUCUUCACAAUAAAAGAAAAAAGCAAAAAAA
rnacentral:lncRNA from 10 species